UACGUAGGGUGCGAGCGUUAAUCGGAAUUACUGGGCGUAAAGCGUACGUAGGCGGUUCGUUAAGUUCGUUGUGAAAGCCCCGGGCUCAACCUGGGAAUGGCAAUGGAAACUGGCGGGCUGGAGUAUGGCAGAGGGGGGUGGAAUUCCGCGUGUAGCAGUGAAAUGCGUAGAGAUGCGGAGGAACACCGAUGGCGAAGGCAGCCCCCUGGGCCAAUACUGACGCUCAGGCACGAAAGCGUGGGGAGCAAACAGG
rnacentral:rRNA from 1 species